AUGGCUGCAGAGGACCAAAAGAUACUAAACUGUCACUUUACCACUGUACUCUACUGGUACAAACAGGAUGGAAACAACAGCCCCAAAUUCAUUCUGAGCCGCUUUACGGUUGGCUCCGGGAAAACAGUUGACGAAGACAAAUUUUCAUCCACACUGAAUUCCAUUCCUCUGAAGAUCCAGAAGCUUCAGCUGUCUGACUCUGCUGUGUACUACUGUGCUCUG